rnacentral:rRNA from 1 species
CCCUUAGAUGUUCUGGGCCGCACGCGCGCUACACUGACGAAUGCAACGAGCUUAUAACCUUGGCCGAAAGGUCUGGGUAAUCUCCAAAUUUCGUCGUGAUGGGGAUAGAUUAUUGCAAUUAUUAAUCUUCAACGAGGAAUGCCUAGUAAACGCAAGUCAUCAGCUUGCAUUGAUUACGUCCCUGCCCUUUGUACACACCGCCCGUCGCACCUACCGAUUGAAUGGCCCGGUGAAAUCUCCGGACUGGCGUGAGUCGGAGCAAUCUGACAAACACCGGAAAGUUGAUUAAACCUUACCAUUUAGAGGAAGGUGAAGUCGUAACA